CACCGGAAGCUCUUACGCGAGAUGGGUUGGGAGGCCGGAAGUUGCGGCCUCAUUACUUGCCUUUUCAAAAUGCUGCCGAGGCCUUAGGGCCUGUGACUGGCGCCCCCUCCCCCACCUCGGACUCGGCGGGGGAGCAACUCAUGGAGCAGCCGUAAGAGUUGUCAACAGACUACAAUUUAUUCAUGGACAAAAUGACAUCAUUUUCCACCUCUGCCCAGUGUUCAACAUCUGACAGUGCUUGCAGGAUCUCUCCAGAACAAACCAAUCAGGUACGACCAAAACUGCCACUUUUGAAGAUUUUGCAGGCAGCAGGUGCACAAGGUGAAAUGUUCACUGUUAAAGAGGUCAUGCACUAUCUAGGCCAGUAUAUAAUGGUGAAGCAGCUUUACGAUCAGCAGGAACAACAUAUGGUAUAUUGUGGUGGAGAUCUUUUGGGAGAACUACUGGGUCGUCAGAGCUUCUCCGUGAAAGAUCCAAGCCCUCUCUAUGAUAUGCUAAGAAAGAAUCUUGUCACUUUAGCUACUGCUACUACAGCAAAGCGUAGAAGAAAGUUCUAAUUCCAGGAAAAGAACCGAAGAAGACAAUAUUCCUGCACUGCCUACCUCACAGCAUAAAUGCAAAAAUUCUAGAGAGGAUGAAGAUGUGGUAGAAAAUUUAACCCAAGAUGAGACAUCAAGACUGGACCUCGGGUUUGAGGAGUGGGAUGUAGCCGGCCUGCCUUGGUGGUUUUUGGGAAACUUGAGAAACAACUAUACACCUAGAAGUAAUGGCUCAACUGAUUUACAGACAAAUCAGGAUAUUGGUACUGCCAUUGUUUCAGACACCACAGAUGACUUGUGGUUUUUGAAUGAGUCUGUAUCAGAGCAGUUUGGUAUUGGAAUAAAAGUUGAAGCUGCUGAUACUGAACAAACAAGUGAAGAAGUAGGGAAGGUGAGAGAUAAAAAGGUGAUUGAAGUGGGAAAAAAUGAUGACCUUGAGGACUCUAAGUCCAUAGACGAUGAUACUGAUAUAGAAGUUACGUCUGAGGAUGAGUGGCAGUGCACUGAGUGCAAGAAAUAUAACUCUCCAAGCAAGAGGUACUGUUUUCGUUGCUGGGCCUUGAGGAAGGAUUGGUAUUCAGAUUGCUCUAAGUUAACCCAUUCUCUCUCCACAUCUGAUAUCACUGCCAUACCUGAAAAGCAAGAAAAUGAAGGAAUUGAUGUCCCUGACUGCAGAAGAACCAUAUCAGCUCCAGUCGUUAGGCCUAAGGAUACAUAUGUAAAAGAAGAAAAGCCCAAGUGUUUUGGUCCCUGCAACUCAGUGGAAUUCUUGGAUUUGGCUCACAGUUCUGAAAGCCAAGAGACCAUAUCAAGCAUGGGGGAACAAUCAGAUAACCUUUUUGAACAGAGAACAGAUACAGAAAACAUGGAAGAUUGCCAGAAUCUCUUGAAGCCAUGUAGUCUCUGUGAGAAAAGACCACGAGAUGGGAACAUUAUUCAUGGGAGGACAGGCCAUCUUGUCACUUGUUUUCAUUGUGCCAGAAGAUUAAAGAAGGCUGGGGCUUCAUGUCCUAUUUGCAAGAAAGAGAUUCAGUUGGUUAUUAAGGUAUUUAUAGCAUAGCUAAAUCAGUGAAUUACAGAGUGAUUUUAACAGGAUUAGGUUAUACAUCAAAGUACCAGUAUUGAGUAGCUCAUUGUCACCCAUUGCCUACUUUCAUUUAUUCAUAUAAAUACAUGUAUUCUGGGACACUUUUCCUUCUAAACUUUUUUGGAAUUUGAGAGUAAGUUCCUUAAAAUUAGGUUAUCAUUUUGGAGACUCCAUUAACAUGAAAAGAUAAGUUAAUCACUCAAUUCUCUUCUGAAAGAUAAGGAUCUAGGAGGAAGUACAAAUCAGUACAAAUACAUUCAUUCUUUCCUUUUCCUAAUUACUAGACAGUUAAUCAUUUCUUUAGGUCAUUUUAUUCCUUACUCUUCUUUUCUGUUAGGGAAUGUUCUAAGGCAUCAAAAUCCAACAUAAGUUGAUUAGUCAGGUUAUAUAGCAUUGCAGAUCACUUUGUGUUACAAUUAGGCUACAUGGUUCAGAGGAACCAAUAUUUUUAUAAAGUCUGGAAGAGAUUUCUUCUCUAUGUGCCUAGAACAAUGGUAUCAAACCUUUUUGCUAACAUGCCCCAGAAAUAAUUUUGAAAAAGUAUAGAUAGCCUUUUUCACAUUUUAAAAGUUGAAAUACAAUUAGCGGACAAUAAAAGUCUUCCCUUCUGAUGAACUGUCGACAUCUGAGUAGCCACCUAAAAUAAGCAAUAGAACUUCUCUGUCACCUCAGAAUGUUCUCUUGUGUCCCUUUCUCGCACUGCCAUUUCAUGACGCUCACCCUGGAUUAGUUUUCCUUUUGCACAUGUUUUAUUUGACAGCUAAACUUUUUAAGUAAAUUUAAGUAUUUACAGAGGCUCUACUAUCCACUACAUUGUAGAUGUGCUUUAAACUUUGGAUCUGCAGUUUUAGCUGAUAGAAUUUAUAGGAAAAGUCUUGUCAUAAAAACUGGCCAAGCCUGUUCUCAUAAAACUAAUCAGCCGAAUCAGACCAUGUUUUCCGUCAAAAUAUUUGACUUUAUUCAGUUAAAUGUAUUACAUACAUCUUUGGUACAACCUUCUCAAUGACACUUCUAAGAAAGAUGAGGCGCAGAGUGUUUUUUGUUUGUUUGUUUGUUUGUUUGUUUUAUGAAUUUUCUGAUGCUUUAUUUAGUUUGACCACCCUACCACAGGCAAUAGUGUUGAAGGCAGAAAACUUGACACAGAAAUUAUGGACUGAAGAUUGUCUUGAUGUGGCCUUUUCUUUGUCUUCUGCAGUAGGAUAUCUUUUUGAAAGUUUCCAGUCCAUUUGGUUGAAGGUUGUUCAGCAUUUGUUGUAAUUCUAUUGUUUUUAUGAGAGGAAGUGAGCGCUAGUCCUGUUCUGCUGUCUUAAUCCCGUCUCAAGAUACAGAGUUGUUAACCAAAGCUCUCUUUGCUUGACUCUGCUCAUGGUUUUGGAGGUCUUCUGGGGUUUUUUGUCUUCAGUUUGAUGCCUAGAGAGUUUUUUUUUUUUUUUUUUUUUAUUCUGAGGCAAUGGCUCAUAGUGAGAUUCUAAAUGUGUUAGCAGCAGCUUUUUUUAUUUAUUUAUUUUUUUUAUCCACACUUGUAGCACAUGGGAGUUCCUGGGCCAGUAAUUGAACCUUGGACACAGUUGUAGCCUGGGCUGCAGCUGCAGUGGCAGUGCCGGCUCCUUCCUUAACCCGCUGAGCCACAAGGGAACUUCCAGGCAGCCUUUCUUUUGAAAGUAGGGAGUAUGGCUUUUGUGGAAAGGAAAGUAAUGAAAGAGAGAAAUGAUAGCUUUGAAGAGCACACAGAUCUUAGGAUAGUAUGUAUAGAAAUGGAAGGUCUUCAAGUUUUUUUCCUUAUAGAUAUCCCUAUCUGCUUUCCUGAUGCAGAAGAUCUUGGUAUAUGCCCAGGGCUGGGAGUAUAGUCAUUUUAAAGACCAAGAUCCUAGAAUUACAAAUUUAAAAGGACUGAGACUCAUCCCAGUUGCCUGUUAAAAGCCCAACUCAACCCCCUGCCCCUGCCGCAACCCCCCACCGACUCUUUGAUCCCUGAGGGUCUGGCCUAGGGAUUUUCAGGUACAGGAAGUAGAUGGAUCCUUUUAUUUAGCAUGAUAUUUUAAUUUCUAGAGGGCUAGUUUUGUGAAGAUACAGCAUUUUAAAACUAGAACGCACUCAUGUAGUCUGCCCUUUUUAUUUGGCACAUAUGGCCAGGAGGAUAAGUGACUGCUAAGAGUUACAGCUGUUAGAGCUAUUACUGGAAUCUAAGUCUCUUGUAGUAAAUCUUUAAACUGUUCUUCCUUCCUUCUCAUUAUUUGUUAAAUAUUUAAAAGAUGGUGCUUGGGAGUUCCCGUCCUGGCUCAGUGGUUAACGAAUCCGACUAGGAACCAUGAAGUUGCGGGUUUGAUCCCUGGCAUCGUUCAGUGGGUUGAGGAUCCGGCGUUGCCGUGAGCUGUGGUGUAGGCCGGCAGCUGCAGCUCCAAUUCGACCCCUAGCCUGGGAACCCUCCAUAUGCCGUCGGAGUGGCCCUAGAAAAGACAAAAAAAUAAAAAUAAAAAAAAAUUUAAAAAAAUAAAAGAUGGUGCUUAUUGAAUUUGGAACAACUAAUAUCCUUAAAAUAUUGGAGAAUAUUAGUUGCAGCCAAAAUAGGACUUAGAAUAGACUUUUAAUCCCCUCUCUAAGAGAAAAGGCCUGAUAAACUCUUAUAUAAUCAGCUAAAUUACUUCUCUCCCUGGGAAGACAAGUAAAGGUGGUAGAGGAACCUGAGCUCUUUUCUCCAGUGUUUGUCCUUCUUGGGGAGUGAAGCUCAGGUCUCUGUCUCUCUCUCCAGGCAUUAGGGGCAAGGAUAUUUCCCUCUUGAUAAGUACAAGCAGUUCAUUGAGUUUAGUGUUUUGUUAUACCAUGGUUAAGUGGGCUGAAAAUUUAGUCAAAUUGCUUUCUACCCUAUUUUCCCCUAUCAUUAUUCUCCUCAUGAUAGUUUGAUAGCCCUCAAUUUUGUUUUAUUUUUUGCCAGUCAGGUGCUUUUGCAAGUGUAAAAUUGCAAUUUUUUCAAAAAUGUACAUAAGGAAAAGUUUAAAAUUUUCAUUUGUGUGUGUAGAUAUUUGAAGCUAAUUUAGUGUGUCCUCGUCUAGCACAGAGUCCUCCUGUGCCAGUUGACCCAUUUUCUAGCACCCUAUCUAGUUUGUCUCUGAAUCUUCACUCGCACUCUGAAAUGUCUUCAUUUGGACAUUAAAUUAUUAUUGGCUUCUAGUUAUGGGUAAGCCAUGCUGAGGUAGAAGUCUUUUUUUCUUCUUUUUUGGCUACCCCACAGCAUAUGGAGUUCUUGGACCAGGGAACAGAUCCAAGCAGCAGUUACAGCAUGCCGGAUCCUUAACCCACUGUGCUGGGCCAGGGAUAGAACCUUGAGUUCCAGUGCUCCAGGUGUUUCUUUGAUUGCCAGGAAAGGAUCCUUUAACAUAGAUGUCAGUGGAGUUAUUGUUUCCGCUGCAUCACCUCAUAGACUUGUGAUUAAUGAAAUCAUCCCAUGAUAGCAUUAAAUUUCUUAUUUUUGUUAUUUAAAAUAAUAUUUGUGACCAUGUUAUCCCAGACAAAAACUUCAGAACAGAAACGACAAAUUCUGGUGUUUCUGUUGUGGCUCAGCAGAAACGAAUCUGACUAGUAUCCAUGAGGACACAGGAUCGAUCCCUGGCCUUGCUCAGUGGGUUAAGGAUCCAGCGUUGCUAUGAGCUGUGGUGUAUGUAGGUCGAAGAUUCGGCUCAGAACUGGCAUUGCUGUGGCUGUGUCAUAGGCCAUUGGCUACAGCUCUGAUUCGACCCCUAGCCUGGAAAUCUCCAUCUGCUGCAGGUGCGGCCCUAAAAGACAAAAAAAAAAAAAAAGAAAAGAAAAAAAGAAAAAAGACAAAAAAAUGGCGAUAGCAUAAAUUUCUAGAUUAUCUAAAAAUGUCUUCUGUCUCUUAAUGUUAACUCAUCCUGCUUACGCUAUACUUACAACUUUUGGUUUGCUUUUGUAUUUAACACUUAAGUCAGACUUUGUACAAAUCUUAGAUCAAGGCUUUAAACUGAUAUUACUAUGUCUUCACAGUCCAUCUGUGGAAUAUCAUAGGUUCCUGAUCUUAGGCUUGAACAAGGGAUCAGCAUCCAGACUGCCAUGAACUCCUCUGAUGUAAGACUGAAUCACUGCCAAGCAUUGGAAAUAUUCAGUUGUGUCUUAGUAAUAAUUUAUGUAUAUUUAGAUAUAUGCAAUGCUUUGUGGGAAAUUAUUUUGUUUGUAAGAAUUUAUUUUUAAAGGUGAGGAUCAUUUGUUACUUUAACGUCACUUCAAUGCAGUGUUGGCGCCUUUGACAGUCACUAAUGAGAAAUUGGUGAAUGUUAGAUCGUGGGUUCUACACAGCUAUCGUAGUGUUACCUCUUGGUUCUCUUUGGAAAGGGUGAAACUCGUUAACCAGAUAAUUGGUUUUUUGUUUUUUUGUUUUUUUCCCUGCAGAGAGUUAUAUGAACUUCUGAAAGGAUAUUGCUUUAGAUACUGUGAAUCUCUUGUUUUCCAUUUAGCCAACCAUCUACUUAAAUUGCUCAUUCUCAUGUCCUAAAAAAGGAUUCAUCUUGACAGCUCUCCCAUUCAUGGAAGUACAUAUAUGCACACACACUAUCAAGACUAUUAAUGCUUUUGCUAAAAACGGCUGUAGACUGGCUGUGUCUAGAAGCUGCACUUCAGAGGUAAAUGAACCUGCCAGCUCUCCCUGUGCCAAAAGUAACAUGUACAAUGUUUACAGAUGUCUUGCACUGCCGUAGGGUAUGCGGUAUGCUGAGGUUACUUUGCUGCGAUUUCCUAGAUUUGUGAUUAGCUUAAUUGCAGUGUAGCAUAUGAGAUAUAAUAUUAGAGGCCCAAAGCCACUGGAAAUGAGGGUUAUCUGAGGUAGUGGUUCAGAUGACUCCCAAUAACUAAUCUGGGAACAGUUUUUCCAGAUCGCCUUGAGAUGUCCUUUCUGUUGACAGAACUUUAGUUGUUUGCCGUUGCUAUAUGUUCUUUUUUAGGAGCCAUCAGAUCUCUUCUCUCCUAUGGGAGAAUGUCCUGUUAGCAUUUUCAGGUCUUUUAAUGCAAUAAAUGUGCAAUCCCAAAUAAUGCCACUAUAGGUGAAUGUGGCGUUGUUAAAGAAAAUAUUAUAAUAAACCUACACUUGGGCUUAGUGUACCUCUAUCAAAGCCUUUUGAAUGACUAAAGUGUUCUAGAGAAACAAGUGUUUCUGUGGAAAGAGGUGGUUAAUAUUUCUUGGUAGCUUAUCUGAAAUCAAAGAUGCUGCUUCUGCACAUUGUUGUCCUUCAUCUAGUAUCUGUCUUCACUGUCUUCUGGGAGCAUAGCAAGUGAGUAGAACUCAUUUCUUGGGGUGGAAUGGGUCAAGGAUCCUCAAAAGGGACAAUAGUACUGCCAGAGCAAUUUCUUUUGCAGAAUAGUUGCUGUAAUUUGACAAAUGCUCUAUUGAAAAUUGACAUUUUUAUAAUAGUUUAUCAGGGCAUCUGAUUUCUUAUCCCAUAGUUUUUUUGUUUUAUUUUUAAACAGUAAGUACUUUGAUGUCAGACAUGUCCCCUUCCUUUCUUUCUUACUAUUGCUCUUUUUUCCUUGGAGGUCAAGGUUAUUAUUUAUUUCUGGGUAUUGCCUUUAUACCAGAAGUCUUCUGUAUCACCCCUUGGAUGGUUUUAACUACCGUAUCUUUAGAUAAGGUUUCUCUUUUUCACUCAGUCCUGGGAAUGUUUCUGUUGCAGCGUUAGGUGGUAAAUUCUAGCAAUAAGAAGGAAAGAUGUGACAUCAGAGCUCCUAUCUAGUAAAAAACUUGUAGUUGAAGAUUUGCGUAUACGAUGAGGCAACGGGAUUUACUUCCUCUUUUGUCCCAGUAUUAAGAAAUUCAGGUCAGCUUGUCCUCUUCCUACAGGGGGAUUUUUUUUUUUUCUCCCCCUGCAGGUUCCUUCAUUUUUUCCACUUCCUUUGUCCUAAAGAAUCAAAGUAUCUCCUUUGGUUUUUUUCCUUUCCCCCUUUAGAAAGUAAGAGAAAAUGUUUUAAAGGAGGAAUGAAAUGUCUCUGUCCUCCUCAGCACUUGGCAAGCCUCUGAACAGGACCUUUCCAUUCUCUAGCGCGACACUAUUAGGUGCCUUUUUGGGUAGAGAUAAAGAGUAAGAUUCCGCUGUCUUGACCUUCUUAAGCUUCCAUUUUUUCUCAUCUGUAAAAUGAGUGUACUACCCUUUCUACCUCAUCGUCCAUUGUAGGGAUUAAGUGUGGGCAGCAGCUUAACCUUUAAUUGCCUUGAAUCAGGUAUUGGAAGUUGUUAAGCUUUUGGUAGAUCUGACUGUGGGGUAUAUAAUCUGAAUACCUCAUGUCCUAGAAGCUGAGCACAAGCUCCCCUUUGUACCUGCCGCACAGAGCCUCUGUUGCCUCCUUUUGCACAUGCCUCUAGCUCAGAUAUCUUUUCCUUGAUAUGAGGCUCUUGUCUAGAAGAGUUUUGCCUCGAGGUUCUGAGAGAAGUGUGUGUGUAAAUUGGGGUAGUAGCUAUCCCUGCGUCGUCAGGGUCUUGGUAUACAGAAAUGCUCUGUCGUACAUGCACUUGAGUGGGUGGCAUAUAAUGCACUGUCAGUAUGUAGCAAACAUGCAAUUUUUCAGCUAACAUCUGAUGAGGCAGAUGUGGUUUCCUAAAAUGGGCAGGAAAAGGUAAUUUGAAAUAACUUUGAAUAGUGACCAGCUCACCAGAUGAGGAAAGGAGACAUUUUCACGAGUUCUUGCCUAAUCUUUGUAAGCACCACUAAAUCGCUUUGUGUCUUUUUUGGGUUUUGCACUGUAUAAUGCUUUUAAUACCUGUUUUUCCUCUUGUGCUUUUUGUUGUGCAUUAAAUAUUUUUCAUUUUACUA